UUUAAAGUCUGACCUGCCCAAUGAGGAGUUAAAUGGCCGCGGUAAUUUGACCGUGCAAAGGUAGCAUAAUCAUUAGUUUUUUAAUUGGAAGCUGGUAUGAAUGGUUGGACGAGAGAGCGACUGUCUCAAUUUAAUUUUAUUAGAACUUUAUUUUUAAGUAAGAAAGCUUAAAUAAAUUUAAAAGACGAGAAGACCCUAUAGAGUUUUAUACAUUGUAAUAUAUUAGAGUUAUGGUAUUGAUAUGUAGGUAUAUUAAGGUGUAUUUUGUUGGGGCGACAGAAAAAUUGAUUUAACUUUUUUUAAAUAUAAACAUUAAUGUAUGAUUAAUUGAUCCGUUGUUAACGAUUAUAAGAUUAAAUUACCUUAGGGAUAACAGCGUAAUUUUCUUUAAGAGUUCUAAUCGAAAAGAGAGUUUGCGACCUCGAUGUUGGAUUAAAAUGAAUUUCUGGUGUAGGGGCUAGAAGAUUAGGUCUGUUCGACCUUUAAAAUUUUACAUGAUCUGAGUUUAAACCGGCGUGAGCCAGGUUGGUUUCUAUCUUUAAAUAGAGUAGGAUAUUUUAGUACGAAAGGACCAAGUAUUUAUAAUAGUUAUUUUAUAUUGAAUAUGACUAAUA
rnacentral:rRNA from 1 species